AGCACUUUGGGAAGCCGAGUCAGAAGGAUCACAAGGUCAGGAGUUCGAGACCAGUCUGACCAACAUGGUGAAACCCUGUCUCUACUAAAGAUACAAAAAUAAGCUGGGUGUGGUGGCAUACCUGUAAUCCCAGCUACUUAGGAGGCUGAGGCAGGAGACUCGCUUGAACCCGGGAUGUGGAGGUUGCAGUGAGCUGAUACAGCGCCAUUGCAGUCCAACCUGGGCGACAGAGCGCGACUCUGUCUCAAACAACAACAAAAAACUGUUGCGUCCCUAGGGCCAAGCACCUCAGAUUGGCCUGUGUCCAACCUCAGAAUCCCUGUCCUGCCUUUCCUUUGGCAGUCAGGCUUAGAUGCUGUUUGGCGGCCUUCCUUCAGGUGGGUACCAGCCUGGCUCAGGUGGGUACCAGCCUGGCUCAGGUGGGCACUGAUGAAACAAGUGCACAAAGGAAGGAGAAGCUAAUGUUGUGGGAGGGGCCGAAAGAAAUCUUAAACCUUUAGAGCGGCUCAGGAAGAGCAGGAAGUGCUUCUGAAAAACAGACACUAUGGCUGCCAGCUGUUUUAGAUUCCCCAGCCCCAACUUGCUCUGGAGACCUCCAGCCCCCAACCUGCUGCCUGGUACACGAAAGGCCUCCAUCAGCAUCUGCUGAGCGUCUCACUCCAUUGCUGUGGAGCAGCCCACAGGAUAUAAGCAGAGCCCUCAACGUGGGAAGCCCCAAAGUAGUUCUCCAGCCUUACCACUCAUUUUAUGUGGAAGAAUCCUGCAAGGUUUUUGAGUCCUAGGAUUUAUUAUGCAUGCCUUCCAAUGUCUGGAGAUUUCUUGGUGGCAUCUCCAGUCAAAAGAACAUUUGGCGGAUUACCUUGGAAGUGAAGUCAUCACAGGUGUCCUGGAGCACUGCCCAGUCAGCAAGGUGACAGAGACUUAACAAAACAUGUCUUGACCGGGCGCAGUGGCUCACACCUGUAAUCCCAGCACUCUGGAAGGCCGAGGUGGGCGGAUCAUGAGAUCAGGACUUCAAGACCAGCUUGGCCAACAUGGUGAAACCCCGUCUCUACUAAAAAUACAAAAAUUAGCCAGGUGUGGUGGCGCAUGCCUGUAAUCCCAGCUACUCCAGAGACUGAGGCAGGAGAAUUGCUUAAACCCGGGCGGGGGCGGAGGUUGUAGUGAGCCGAGAUCGUGCCACUGCACUCCAGCCUAGGCGACAGAGCAAGAUUCCGUCUCGUUAAAAAAUAAUAAUAAAAUAAAAUAAACAUAUCUGUUUCUCAAAGGUUGAGGCUGUUAGCACCAGGGAAUGUAGGCACCAAAGUCUGUAAGUGGUGGCAAAUCCUUGCCUCCUCAGAAAAAAGAAUUCCACCAAGUGGCAUAAGAUGGGGAGGGAGAGAGGCAAGUUUUGGAGCAGAAGUGAAAGUUUUAUUAAAGUUUUAGAGCAAGAAUGAAAGUAAAAGCACAUGGCCGGGUGCGGUGGCUCAUGCCUGUAAUCCCAGUGAGAAGUGAAGCCAGCUGGACUUCCUGGGUCGAGUGAGGACUUGGGGAACUUUCCUGUCUUACAAGAGGAUGAUAAAACGCACCAAUUAGAAACUUUCCUGUCUUACAAGAGGAUUGUAAAACGCACCAAUCAGCACUCUGUAAAACGCACCAAUCAGCAGGAUUCUAAAAGUAGCCAAUCUGCGGGGAGGAUUGAAAAAAGGACACUCUGAUAGGACAGAAACGGAACAUGGAGCAGGGGGAGUGGGGGAGAGUGGGGGGUGGGGCAUGGGGGCGUGGGUGGGGGCGUGGGUGGGGGUGGGGGUGGGGGGCGUGGGUGGGGUGGGGACAAUAAGGGAAUAAAAGCUGGCCACCCCCAGCCAGCAGUGGCAACCCGCUUGGGUCUCCUUCCACGCUGUGGCAGCUUUGUCCUUUUGCUCUUCACAAGAAACCUUGCUACUACUCACUCUUUGGGUCCAUGCCAUCUUCAGGAGCAGUAACACUCACCUGCCAAGGUCCCCGGCUGCAUUCUUGAAGUCAGCGAGACCACAAACCAACUCUGGACACACCAGCACUUUGGGAGGCCGAGGCAGGUGGAUCAUCUGAAGUCAGGAGUUCAAGACCAGCCUGGCCAAAGUGGUGAAAACCCAUGGCUACUAAAAAUACAAAAAUUAGCUGGGCGCGGUGGUGCACGCCUGUAAUCCCAGCUACUUGGGAGGCUAAGGCAGGGGAAUCACUGGAACCUGGGAGGUGGUGGUUGCAGUGAGUGGAGGUCGCACCACUGCACUGCAGCUUGGGUGAUAAAGACUCUCACACGAAAAAUAAUAAAAAUAAAAUAAAAAGUUUUAGAGCAGGAACAAAAUUAAAAGUACACUUGGAAGAGGGCCAAGUGGGCGACUUGAGAGAUUCAAGUGCACGGUUUGGCCUUUGACUUGGAAUCUUAUAAGUUGGCAUGCUUGGUGGGUGUGUGGGGUGGUUGCAUCCCUUCUCCCCUGAUUCUUCCUUUGAGGUGGCCUGCCACUACUUGGGAGGGGCCUCUGGCACAGUGUGUUUACUGAAGUGGUGUGCAUGCUCACGAGGUGUUUUUCUCUUACCAGCUGAGUGUUCCCAGAGAGAACUCAUAUGCCAGUUCAACUCCACCAUUUUGUCUCUUAGUUCACAUGCUUGAGCCUACUCGCCCAACUCCUGAGAUCUAAUUAGGAAGCUGAUCACCAGUUUUGGGUUUUUCUAUCUAUUGGGGAGACUGCCUUUCUCUGGCGCUGGAUGAGAUCAAUUACUAUUUUAGACAGCUUAACAGCCUCCUGACGAUCACGUGAUGGUCUUCUGAUAUUCCUAGGGUUGGAGGUGGGGCUCUCCUGCCCUGCUUAUGUCUGCCGCUACCCACUGUAACAACACUGCCACGCAGGCUCUGCAUCAGGAGACCCACUGCGGCUUCUGGACAACACGAGAUGAAACCCAGGUUGCCCAGGACCUUCUGCUUGCCAACUGGUCAGGAGUCGUGUGGCUAUCUCACUUGUGCCUCCUAAAUCCCUCUCUCGGAAGGGGAGGUGGAGGGGUGCUGGUAUUGUCCUCAUUUUACCAAACCUCACGCCUAGUUCCCUUUCCACCAUCCCUGGGGCCUUCCAGAAGAAUCUCUGUGCUUGGAGAAAGGAGUACACAGCCUGAGGCUGGGUACGGGAUGCAAACAUCCAUUCAUUCAACUAUUUCUUGGGAACUGGGGCUGCGCAGGACAGGGAGACCCGGGACACUGUCCUAACGGAAGCCAAGACCUGGGGAAGCCCAAGUUGGACUCAGCUAAUUAUAAUUGCAAUUAUAACUUCGUACUCGAGUGCUUUCAAGGGUUGCCGAGGAGGCGAGGAGGGAAGGAAGGGGCCACAGGUCUGUGGCUGUCGGGUUUGCUGUGCCAGUUUCUGCCGGAUGGAGGCCGCGAGCAUG
rnacentral:lncRNA from 1 species